UACGUAGGGUGCAAGCGUUGUCCGGAAUUAUUGGGCGUAAAGAGCUCGUAGGUGGCCUGUCGCGUCGGCUGUGAAAACUCGGGGCUCAACUCCGAGCGUUGCAGUCGAUACGGGCAGGCUAGAGUUCGGCAGGGGGAGACGUGGAAUUCCUGGUGUAGCGGUGAAAUGCGCAGAUAUCAGGAGGAACACCGGUGGCGAAGGCGGGUCUCUGGGCCGAUACUGACACUGAGGAGCGAAAGCGUGGGGAGCGAACAGG
rnacentral:rRNA from 1 species